rnacentral:snRNA from 1 species
AUGCUCGCUUCAGCAGCACCUGUACUAAAACUGGGACGACACAGAAGGUCAGUGUGGCCCCUGUGCAAGGAUGACAUGCAGAUUUGUGAAGCUUUCCAUAUUUUU